GCUUCAGUAGCUCAGUUGGUUAGAGCACCUGACUGUUAAUCAGGGGGUCGUUGGUUCAAGCCCAUCCUGAAGCGCAA
rnacentral:tRNA from 37 species